CCUAGUGUUUUGGCGCAUAUUUGCGAGCACCGAUCGGCUUGCCAUCCUGAUAUUUUCGGCGCGGCUUUCCUCUCCCGCGCACAAAGUGAAAGUUCCCUCCCGGUUCCCGCGCGUCCAGACUCUCCUAGGAGCAAACAGUGCACGGUUCACAUCGGUGUCAGGGACAGAAUACCAUGCCGGCCACUUGAUUUCUUAAUCACACAUACAAACAAAUGAAAACAGUGCCAUGCAAAUCUAUGUUUCCAGGUGCAGUAGCAGGUGCAGCAGGCGGCCAGCAGGUGAAGCGUCUAAGUUAGUUGACGGUGGUUUGGGUGGGCCUACUUUUUAAUUUUUUGCCAAGCCCAUAUGGCAAACCAUUGGAGAGACAACAAUUUUUCACUUGCCAAAUGUUUUAUUCACUUGCCAAAAUACAAGUUUUGCCAAAUGAGUUUUGGCAAACUCUUGGAGAUGCUCUAUGCU
rnacentral:lncRNA from 1 species